GUUUUAUUUCAGGGGGAAACCUAGCUGCUUCUAUGCAACAUGUGUUUUCGACUUAAUUGAUUAUCAUGGCUCAAAAAUCCACACAGCUGAGAGGUUCGCUGUUUUCAGAGUCCAUCCAUUUUCGUUCCUUGUUUUGCCCAUCGUUGCGGGCGGGUCGCAGGGCUAACAGGUUAGUAUCACCAUUUAGCCUGAAACCACGAAAGUCUUGGACUGUGGAGAGCACGGACACUCCACGCAGAAGGGACCGGGCUGGAUUUAAGGUCAGGAGCUUCCACAGUGUGAGUGUUAAACCUGCAGUGAGGGGUGGGACUUGGCUGCCCACGGUCAGACUCUGGACUCGGAAAUCCCUUCCUGCUCUCCACCUGCCGCCGGGCACAGGUUAAUGGAUAAACUUCCUACCUGCUGAACCAACAUCGAGAUCCGUCAGCUGCCCGGAAGAUUCACUUUACCCGAUAAAAGGGCCGUUGGACGAUAACAACAACGACGUUUUAAUGUUCACACACAGGUGUCGGUAACGGGACUCAUGUUUCUGACACGAAAAUCUAAGAAAACCGCUGCGAGCAUAAAAGUAACUUCAGGUUUCCACCGUAACACAGCUCCACUUUUCUUCUGACCACAGUUGGCACACGAAGGACUUCAGGGGGCUUUGCGUCGGGUUAGCACUCGGACAUGGACCGAUACAGGUACUUUAUCUUUAACCAGAAGGGCGUGCUCGGCCUCGGUAUCCUCCAGGUGGCUUGUGCUGGUCUCUGUGUGGUCUGUGGGUUCAUGGACGCUGUUUUUCGCAAGGACACUCCGCUGAGUACCACCAGGACGCCGCUGUGGGGAGGACUGAUCAUGGCCUCUCCAGGUGUGCUGGCGCUGUUUGCCUCCCAGAGGAAGAAACCAGUACUGGUGAGUGUGAUGGUGGUGGCCUCAGGCCUGUCUGUUUUGGCUGCAAUCAUCAUAUCAAGUUACUCCUGUCUGACCCUCACCUAUGGGCAGGAGGAUAAAGAGGUCUUCCAUCACCACAACAGUCCUCAAGUGACGUUUGUGCUUCAUCGGAUGGUGAAGGGCGCCAACGCCACAAUCCUGCUAACCUGCGCCAUCAGCCUGGUUUUCUCCUCUGUCAUCGGCUACAUGGGCUGUCGCAGCAUCCCCUUGUGUGCCUGCUAUGAUGCCAGAACUGGACUGGAGAGCCUGGUUCCUCAGUGUGAUCCCGGGGACACUGAGAUGUGCACCUUGCAGAGUAAGUUUUAAAUGUUAAAUGUCAGUCGAAAACUGGUCCUCCCGUGGAUCCCGUGAUUUUCUCAAUAAUAUUCAAGGAGGAGACAACAGGCUGUUUAACUCUCCAGCUCAAACAACUCACAAAGACGAUCCAGAAGAGGAAUGUUCCUCCAACCUGCCCCCAUACAGCAGACUGACCUGAGACGCAUGCCUGUUGGGGACUUAAUACUCCUGCUUGCUUCCUUCUGACUGCAGGUUCAUUAUAUUUAAAGCUAAAGUCUAUGGGUUUACUUCUGAGCACAGACAGAGGAGGAAUUACAUAAUUCCGGUGAAGCUCAAGCUGCCAAGUCUUGAAAAACUGGACUUUUUACAGUGUCUUUUGGUUAAUGGCCCCUACAGUCAGACUCAUUUAAACUUGCCAAAGCCUGAAUACCUGUGUGUGCAUCGUGUCAGUACUUUCAUGUUUAAUUCUUUUUACUCUGUGUGAAUGACUUUUGCUCUGACUUAAUUUAUGUAAUAUGUAUGCAUUAAAUAAAAACUGGACUGAGCUGUUGGAGAGCUGACUCCACAUAUUGAAA